GUCAGAGAGAAGUGAGAGAGUGAGAGAGGGAGGUCAGACAGAAGUGAGAGAGGGAGGUCAGACAGAAGUGAGAGAGGGAGAGAGGGAGGUCAGACAGAAGUGAAAGAGGGAGGUCAGACAGAAGUGAGAGAAUGAGAGAGGGAGGUCAGACAGAAGUGAGAGAAUGAGAGAGGGAGGUCAGACAGAAGUGAGAGAGGGAGGUCAGAGAAGAGAGAGGGAGGUCAGAGAGAAGUGGGAGAAUAAGAGACAGAGGUCAGACAGAAGUGAGAGAAUGAGAGAGGGAGGUCAGAGAGAAGUGAGAGAAUAAGAGAGGGAGGUCAGAGAGAAGUGAGAGAAUAAGAGAGGGAUGUCAG
ensembl:lncRNA